rnacentral:tRNA from 1 species
GUUUUAAUAAUUUAAAAAAAAUACUGGUCUUGUAAACCAAUAAUAAGAAAUUCUUUUAAAACA